rnacentral:SRP_RNA from 1 species
GUCGACCUUAGUAACGCAAGCUUGUGAUCCGAGGGGAGACAAUAAGGUGAUGGAACAUUGUCCUGACUUUGCCAGGUAAUUGUUUAGUGAGGUCUUUCUACUGGCCCCAAUUUAAAAGGAGUUCGCUCUGUGAUCUCAGAUCUCCAGCAGGGCGUUAGCCUCCACCUGGUUGGUAUGCGGGUUAAAAUUGGACCAUCACUUUU